AGAGUUGAUCAUGGCUCAGGAUGAACGCUAGCGGCAGGCUAACACAUGCAAGUCGAGGGGCAGCGGGAUGUAGCAAUACAUGCCGGCGACCGGCGGAUGGGUGCGUAACGCGUAUGCAACCUACCUUAUACAGGGGAAUAACCUUUCGAAAGGGAGACUAACACCCCAUGGUAUUGAUUUAAGGCAUCUUAGAUUAAUUAAAUAUUUAUAGGUAUAAGAUGGGCAUGCGUAUGAUUAGCUAGUUGGUAAGGUAACGGCUUACCAAGGCGACGAUCAUUAGGGGUUCUGAGAGGAAGGUCCCCCACACUGGUACUGAGACACGGACCAGACUCCUACGGGAGGCAGCAGUGAGGAAUAUUGGUCAAUGGGCGCAAGCCUGAACCAGCCAUGCCGCGUGCAAGGAAGACGGCCUUAUGGGUUGUAAACUGCUUUUACAUAAGACUAACCGUAUAUUUGCGAAUAUACCUGAAUGUAUUAUGAGAAUAAGGAUCGGCUAACUCCGUGCCAGCCGCCGC
rnacentral:rRNA from 1 species